GGCAUUACGCCGGAUAGAACGGAUUACUCUGAUGAAGUAAACUAUAGGUUCCUUUACCUUAAUGCUU
rnacentral:tRNA from 1 species